rnacentral:rRNA from 1 species
AAGUCUUUGAACCGGGUAAAAGUCGUAACAAGGUUUCCGUAGGUGAACCUGCGGAAGGAUCAUUA